rnacentral:rRNA from 1 species
CAGUAGCCGCGGGAAUACGAAGGGUGCAAGCGUUACUCGGAAUUACUGGGCGUAAAGCGUGCGUAGGUGGUGGUUCAAGUCCGUUGUGAAAGCCCUGGGCUCAACCUGGGAAUUGCAGUGGAUACUGGGUCACUAGAGUGUGGUAGAGGAUAGUGGAAUUUCCGGUGUAGCAGUGAAAUGCGUAGAGAUCGGAAGGAACAUCUGUGGCGAAGGCGACUAUCUGGGCCAACACUGACACUGAGGCACGAAAGCGUGGGGAGCAAACAGGAUUAGAUACCCCGGUAGUCCCUGUCUCUUAUAC